AUCCAUCUGACGAGUCCCAAAUAGGACGUAAGGCAUGUCCUGGAU
rnacentral:hammerhead_ribozyme from 2 species